rnacentral:tRNA from 1 species
GAGAGUAUAGCUCAGUGGUAGAGCAUGUGCUUAGCAUGCAUGAGGUCCUGGGUUCGAUCCCCAAUACUAUCA